AUCGCUUCUCGGCCUUUUGGCUAAGAUCAAGUGUAGUAUCUGUUCUUAUCAGUUUAAAAAUAAAUGUUGACUCGCACAUGCACGAUACAUAUAAAGCUCUAGCUGGCACCAAUUGUACGCAUGUGUUUUGAUCUGUCAUUGUCAAUCGUGAAUUUGGUUGACACUUC
rnacentral:snRNA from 1 species